rnacentral:rRNA from 1 species
UUAUCGGUACGGGUUGUGGGAGCAAGAUCCUGGAGAUGGAUUCUGAGACAUGAAUCCAGGCCCUACGGGGCGCAGCAGGCGCGCAAACUUUACAAUGCGAGCAAUCGUGAUAAGGAAACCCUGAGUGCCUGUCGAUGCAGGCUGUUCAUAUAUUUAAAUUGUAUGUGAAGAAAGGGCAGGGCAAGACCGGUGCCAGCCGCCGCGGUAAUACCGGCUGCUCGAGUGAUGGCCACUAUUACUGGGUUUAAAGCGUCCGUAGCUUGAUUUUUAGGUCUCUUGGGAAAUCUUUUGGCUUAACCACAAGGCGUCUAAGAGAUACCGGGAAUCUUGGAACUGGGAGAGGUAAGCCGUACUUCGGGGGUAGGAGUGAAACCUUGUAAUCCUCGAGGGACGACCUAUGGCGAAGGCAGCUUACCAGAACAGCUUCGACAGUGAGGGACGAAAGCUGGGGGAGCAAACGGGAUUAGAUACCCCGGUAGUCCCAGCCGUAAACAAUGUGCGUUAGGUGUGUCAGUUAUCACGCGUAACUGAUGCGCCGAAGAGAAAUCGUGAAACGCAUCACCUGGGAAGUACGGUCGCAAGGCUGAAACUUAAAGGAAUUGGCGGGGGAGCACCACAACAGGUG